rnacentral:rRNA from 1 species
AGGGCACCACCAGGAGUGGAGCCUGCGGCUUAAUUUGACUCAACACGGGAAAACUUACCCGGCCCGGACACUGGGAGGAUUGACAGACUGAGAGCUCUUUCUUAAUUCAGUGGGUGGUGGUGCAUGGCCGUUCUUAGUUGGUGGAGCGAUUUGUCUGGUUAAUUCCGAUAACGAACGAGACUCUGGCCUAUUAAAUAGACGGUAUAUCUUCAUAAGUAUAUCGCGCUUCUUAGAGGGACAAGCGGCGUCUAGCCGCAUGAAAUAGAGCAAUAACAGGUCUGUGAUGCCCUUAGAUGUCCGGGGCUGCACGCGCGCUACACUGAAAGAAUCAGCGUGCGAUUCGCCUGGUCCGGAAGGAUCGGGUAACCCGAUGAAAUUCUUUCGUGCUUGGGAUAGGGAAUUGCAAUUAUUUCCCUUAAACGAGGAAUUCCCAGUAAAUGCGGGUCAUAAGCUCGCGUUGAUUACGUCCCUGCCCUUUGUACACACCGCCCGUCGCUACUACCGAUUGGAUGACUUAGU